UUCCUGCAAAAAGUCAUGUACUGUAUGUGAUAGCAGGAGUCUCAGUCUGUGGAGCUGCAGGUCUGAUCUGUGUGCUGGUCUGGAUCAGUUAUACCAAAACAUGCAGAAGGGCAGUGGUGGCAAAAAGAAAAGAUGAGCAGGAUACUGAUGAUUAUGUCAACAAUGUCCAAGUUGGGAAAUCUACCGCCAUCCGAAUGAGUUCAGUGUCCCAGAGCCUGAAUCCCAACACCACCCAAUCUGAUUCAGUUUAUCAUAGCCUGAACCCCAACACCACCCAACCUGAUUCAGUUUAUCAUAGCCUUACUUCCCCCCCCCCAACCUGAUGCAGACUACCAAACCCUAAAUGCAAAUACCUCUUAAUGACAUUUUUCUCAUUCACGCCUGAAAUCAGUAUCACCUAAAACUUCAGUGUCAAAAGUCCAGUAUCAUCCCCAACCAUCUUUAGAACUUCACCUGGAGGAGUC